UGAGUACGAGAUGCUACGGCAUCGAAGCAGUCUAUGUCAUACUUCCAAGAAAAGCUUGCACUGUCAUAAACAAAGAAUGCCUGUACCAUAACCGACACAGGUGGGUAGGUAGAGUAUACUAAGGGGCGCGAGAUAACUCUCUCUAAGGAACUCGGCAAAAUGACUCCGUAACUUCGGGAGAAGGAGUGCCUUAUUUCUAAGGUUGCAAUAACAAGAUCCAAGCAACUGUUUACCAAAAACACAGGUCUCCGCUAAGUCGUAAGACGAUGUAUGGGGGCUGACGCCUGCCCAGUGCCAGAAGGUUAAAGAAGUUGGUUAGCAUUAGCGAAGCUGAUAACUGAAGCCCUGGUGAACGGCGGCCGUAACAAUAACGGUCCUAAGGUAGCGAAAUUCCUUGUCGGGUAAGUUCCGACCCGCACGAAAGGCGUAAUGAUUUGGAUACUGUCUCGGAGAGGGGCUCGGUGAAAUAGACUUGUCUGUGAAGAUGCGGACUACCUGCACCUGGACAGAAAGACCCUAUGAAGCUUUACUGUAACUUGAGAUUGAAAUUGGACUUUAUUUGCGCAGUAUAGGUGGGAGGCGUUGAGAAUAAUCUUGCGGGAUUGUUGGAGCCAUCAGUGAGAUACCACUCUUGUAAUGUUAGAUUUCUAACUUUGUAUCAUUAUCUGGUCAAAGAACAGUUUCAGGCGGGCAGUUUGACUGGGGCGGUCGCCUCCCAAAGGGUAACGGAGGCGCACAAAGGUUUCCUCUGAACGGGUAGAAAUCGUAUCUAGAGUGUAAAGGCAUAAGGAAGCUUGACUGUGAGACCUACAAGUCGAGCAGGGACGAAAGUCGGUCUUAGUGAUCUGACGGUGCUGAGUGGAAAGGCCGUCACUCAACGGAUAAAAGUUACUCUAGGAUAACAGGCUGAUCUCCCCCAAGAGUUCACAUCGACGGGGAGGUUUGGCACCUCGAUGUCGGCUCAUCGCAUCCUGGGGCGGUAGUCCGUCCCAAGGGUUGGGCUGUUCGCCCAUGAAAGCGGUACGCGAGCUGGGUUCAGAACGUCGUGAGACAGUUCGGUCCAUAUCCGGUGUAGGCGUUAGAAUAUUGAGAGGAGCCUUCUCUAGUACGAGAGGACCGAGAAGGACAUACCUCUGGCGUACCAGUUAUCGUGCCAACGGUAAACGCUGGGUAGCUAUGUAUGGAGUGGAUAACCGCUGAAAGCAUCUAAGUGGGAAGCCCACCUC
rnacentral:rRNA from 1 species